rnacentral:rRNA from 1 species
GACGAACCGUGCGAACGUUGUUCGGAAUCACUGGGCUUAAAGGGCGCGUAGGCGGGCGGUCAAGUCUGUGGUGAAAUCCUUCGGCUCGAACCGGAGAAUAGCUGGAGAUACUGGCCGUCGUCGAGGGGGGUAGGGGCAUGUGGAAGGCUUCCGGUGGGAGCGGUGAAAGUGACUGGUGAGAGUAUAGCGGAGGAACACCGAUGGCGAAAGGCGAA